rnacentral:rRNA from 1 species
ACACUGUACGAGUUUGAUCCUGGCUCAGGAUGAACGCUAGCGGCAGGCUUAAUACAUGCAAGUCGAGGGGCAGCACGGGUAGCAAUACCUGGUGGCGACCGGCAAACGGGUGCGGAACACGUACGCAACCUUCCCGAAACUGGUGAAUAGCCCUCCGAAAGGAGGAUUAAUACACCGUACCAUAAUGAAGAGGCAUCUCUUUGUUAUUAUAGCCGCAAGGCGGUUUUGGAUGGGCGUGCGCCUGAUUAGGUAGUUGGCGGGGUAACGGCCCACCAAGCCUGCGAUCAGUAACUGGUGUGAGAGCACGACCAGUCACACGGGCACUGAGACACGGGCCCGACUCCUACGGGAGGCAGCAGUAAGGAAUAUUGGUCAAUGGACGCAAGUCUGAACCAGCCAUGCCGCGUGAAGGAUGACGGCCCUCUGGGUUGUAAACUUCUUUUAUCUGGGACGAAAAAAGGGCUUUCUAGCUCACUUGACGGUACCAGAGGAAUAAGCACCGGCUAACUCCGUG